CGGCGACGUCUGGUUCAGUGGCGUGCACAUGAUCUGCGCGGCGAUCCAUGUGACGGGGCUCGUGCUGCUGCUCAUGGGAAAGCGACAUCUGUAGGCGACCGAGCGACCCGGGCUGCAACAGGUGAGCGCGCGACACAGGUGGGAUUCGGACGUGAGGAGAGUGACGUGGAGGUGAAGACGCAGGCAGUCCUCGUCCCUGGAUAUGGUUCUUUCUGUCCUCAUGUGUACUUACUGGUGUUUGGUGAAGUGUUUUUUGGUCAUACCAUCACAUCCACAUGUUCCACAUCUCAUCCCACUCUCCCCCUCUCGGACGAGCGCUGCCCCGGUGCAUCACGUGACCCGUGAACCCUCUGGCUUGCACCAGCUGUGAAGUGAUGUCAUUCGGUGCCUGAUUGUUUUGGUACGAGGCGUUCAGGUCAGACGUAGUCAAACCGACCGCGGUGUCUCCGGGGACGCCGGGAAUACUGCGAUGAGGUCACUGUCCCCUGACGCUGGAGGGGAAAAUUUUUUAUCGUCGUCACACUAGGAGUGUGAAACUCGGUGACUGCGAAACCGAUUUCUAUUUAUUAUUAAAAAAUGUAAAAAUGAAAAAAAAAAAAAAUUCUAAAGUAUAAAAAUUCUAAAAUGUAUAUGUGAUGAGUCUUCAGAGGAAGAGCUCUUUACCAAAACAUCCUCUGCAUAUUGCACUGUAACCUCUCUAAUAAGCUACGAACAAGUCAGGACUUUCUUUCUUUCCUCCUUUCUUUCAUUUAACUAGUUUCUAUCUAUCUAUCUAUCUAUCUAUCUAUCUAUCUAUCUUCAAUUUAGGUCAUUUCUUUCUUUAAAAUUUUACUGUCUUCUUUUUUUCUGUUUUCUUCUCUUUCUUUCUUGUUCCUGUUAUAUUUUUUUCCCUCUUCUUUCAUUCAUCCUUUCUUCUCAUCAUCUACCUUUUUCAGUUUAGGCAAUUUCUUUAUUUAUUCUCUUUUCUUUCUCCUUUUGUUUUCUCCUUCAUAUUGUUUCUUCUUUCUUUCUUUACAACGAGUUCAUUCUUUCUUGUUCCUUUUCUGUUUGGUUUUUUUCCCCCCCUCAUUCAUAUUUUUUCCUCUUCUUUCACUCAUACUUUCUUCCUUUACUCUAUCUACCUUUUUCAGCAUAGGCCAUUUAUUUAUUUAUUCUCUUUUUUUUCUUUAUUCUCC
ensembl:lncRNA